CUUAUUGCUGUUGAAGGAAACAUGACAGGAAGUGGAGAAUGAUGGAUGUUCCUCUCAGCUCAAAGCAUGGAGACCAGAGGGAUGUAGAGAAUGAUGGAUGUUUCUCUCGCGGGCUUCACAUCGGUUGGUAGGAGAGGUGGCUGCAGGGGAAGCUCCAGCAGCGGCGGCGUCAACGUCAAUCCAUUGGUGAGGGGAAUACAAAGGUGAGGAAUUUAACUAUGUUGUUUAGUGAUUUUCAGAGCUAGUCUGAAUUUGAAUGGAAUCUGAUUUUCAGUGUUUCUAGUCUGAAUGUGAAUUAUGUGUUUGUAUGCGUUAGAAUGGAUUUCAUGUGCAGCAGACCCCAACGAGCACUCGUGGUCAUGCUUCUUUGGAGAUUCUUCAUAUGUGGAGAGGUGACUGGUCUCAUACAAUUUACACAGUGGGUAAAAUUUCUGUGAACAGAAUGUGAAGAAGAAGGAUGCCAGGGUGAUCUUAGAGAAGGGAAAAAAAGAUAUAUUAUGUUGGAGAAGAAAGCUCAGCAGCUGAAAAGCUGGUAGUAGUGUUAAUGAAGCAAGAAAAGAAGAUGAUCCAGAGAGCAUAUAGAGCAGAAAUGAGAGAGAUACGAAGAGAUGGGCUUUGUAAUUCUAGACGUAGGUUGUGCAUCUAUGUAUGUUUUUUGUGCAUUGUUCGUCAGCGGCAUUGUUUGACUUGGCUGAGAUGUGUAAACGGUAAUGUGCUUCAGAAACAGAUUUUCCUUGAAUAAAUAAAAAAAGUUGAGGUGCAA